rnacentral:rRNA from 1 species
CCGGCGAGGGGAGUGAAAAAGAACCUGAAACCGUGUACGUACAAGCAGUGGGAGCACAGAGCAAUCUGUGUGACUGCGUACCUUUUGUAUAAUGGGUCAGCGACUUAUAUUCUGUAGCAAGGUUAACCGAAUAGGGGAGCCGAAGGGAAACCGAGUCUUAACUGGGCGUUAAGUUGCAGGGUAUAGACCCGAAACCCGGUGAUCUAGCCAUGGGCAGGUUGAAGGUUGGGUAACACUAACUGGAGGACCGAACCGACUAAUGUUGAAAAAUUAGCGGAUGACUUGUGGCUGGGGGUGAAAGGCCAAUCAAACCGGGAGAUAGCUGGUUCUCCCCGAAAGCUAUUUAGGUAGCGCCUCGUGAAUUCAUCUCCGGGGGUAGAGCACUGUUUCGGCAAGGGGGUCAUCCCGACUUACCAACCCGAUGCAAACUGCGAAUACCGGAGAAUGUUAUCACGGGAGACACACGGCGGGUGCUAACGUCCGUCGUGAAGAGGGAAACAACCCAGACCGCCAGCUAAGGUCCCAAAGUCAUGGUUAAGUGGGAAACGAUGUGGGAAGGCCCAGACAGCCAGGAUGUUGGCUUAGAAGCAGCCAUCAUUUAAAGAAAGCGUAAUAGCUCACUGGUCGAGUCGGCCUGCGCGGAAGAUGUAACGGGGCUAAACCAUGCACCGAAGCUGCGGCAGCGACACUGUGUGUUGUUGGGUAGGGGAGCGU